AGGAGGAACAACCCCAGUGGCGGGGCCAGCUCUGGAGCCCUGGAUUCAGCUCCCACAGUAACUCCGGAGCUCUCCAUCUGCAGGGCCUGGAGGCUCCGGGGCAGG
rnacentral:pre_miRNA from 1 species